AGAAGUAAGUCAGCACCGUCCCUCCAGAGAGGAGAAGGAUGGAGCCUCCCCAGCCAAUGAAAAUUGCAGCUCCAAGUUCAUAUCUGAACAGGAAGUAUUGAGGUAGGUUAUACUGCCUGCAAAGGUCACCCUGGCAUUGGCAAUGUCUGAUCCACCUAUUUUAGUGCAUUUCAUCCCUAUGAGUGUGAGGACGCCUCCGAAGAAGCCAGUGAUAACGGCACAGACAGCGAGCGCUCUGCAAGCGUGUAGGAACGCUGAAAGAAAACAGGUUGGAGUAGUAGUUGGAGGUGGUCAGCACGACGCUGCCCACCUCUGAGAAAGUCCAGUACUCUGUGGGAAGAGUGGAACACACCAGGAUCCAGCCACACAGGCAGGACACGAAGCAGCCGAUCUCCAUGUACAUCACCACCUUCCUGUACUUCAUGGGAACUAUGGGAUGCCUGCUGCAGAGAGAGUAUUGUAUCCAGUCAGAAACAGCAACAGUAACAAUACAUUACCAGCCACAUCUGAUACACCUGCAUGAGGGAAAUCCAAUGACACAAUGGAAAAAACAAACAAGACGAACCAUGGUCCAUAGCAAUGGUGCAACCCACAAAGCCCCAGCCCAGUAUGCAGAGCAGCAGGCCCAGGAUCUGACCCAUUCUCCCCCACAUCCGUUCAGUUUGAGUGGCGUACACACUGACCACAGAUAGAAGAAACCACCAGUCAUUUGAAAGAUCGAGCCAACCCAGCCGAGGAACAGCGGGGUGCCAAGACAUUACCGCUGAUUAUGUGGCACCACCCGCCGGUGUAGAUCUUCUUGUACUUUGACCGGUCUUUACCCCCAAUGAAAGUACACUCCAUACCCAUCAGACUGAGCACAAAGCCCAUCAUGCCCAGGGAAAGAGCUGCCAUCAGCAGGCCUCGCACUAUCUGGAUGGAGCCUGGAGUCACACAGCAAGACACAAAUAGACAUUAAUGAGAGUCUAGAUGUCAGUGGAGCUCAUGACUGAAUAGUUGAGACAGUAGGUUAGUUAGAUAGGGUGAAAAAUGUGUUACCUACCCUCCACAGACCAGAGCACAGGGUAGUCGUAGCAGUUGCUGACAGCAGUUGAGUCUGUAUAACAGGAUCUCCACAGGCUGGACCAAUACCAGGCCACCUUGAUGACGGCGGAGCCCCCCAUGCCCCCAAUGGCGGUGAUCUUCCAGCCCUCCAUGGCCAAUGUGCAGGCCAUGAAGAUCCAGCCCAAAACUGUCAUCAGGAAACCCCAGAUCUGGACCACACGAAUCUUCAUCUCGGGGCUUCUUAAGACGUGUACAUCCUGAGCUGAACGUCUAAAUUCAAACAGAUGUCAAAGUGGCCACCUACUCAGCGGCUCUUCUCAGAAAAAGGAGAGGACGAGUGCAUCACAGGUACAAAUCAGGGGUGUGCUGUUGUUUUCCAGGUAUUACUGUACAUGUGGGUGAGAGACAACAGUUGCACAGGUUCCCAUGGGCCACAGCUGAAUCUGGACUGAGAGUGCUCACCUAAGCAUGUAUCUCAUAUUACCAAAGCAACUUCAUGCCCCCAUUGGACUGUUCUGGACUUUCUCUCAUGUGCAGAUUAUAUUAUUAUUAUAUUUCACUUUCUUGAAACAAUGUUGUUAAAUAAUCCUGCAAUUACUGGCACUGUAUUGUACUGUAAUUCAGUUAACGGCCAAUAUAUUAGCCUAAUUGAUCCUGAAAAUUUGAAACUUUUUGAAACUUGAUAUGAAUAAAUGUCUAAUUAAAGGGGUA